GAUGAACGCUGGCGGCGUGCCUAAUACAUGCAAGUCGAGCGAACAGACGAGGUGCUUGCUCCUCUGACGUUAGCGGCGGACGGGUGAGUAACACGUGGAUAACCUACCUAUAAGACUGGGAUAACUUCGGGAAACCGGAGCUAAUACCGGAUAAUAUAUUGAACCGCAUGGUUCAAUAGUAAAAGACGGUUUUGCUGUCACUUAUAGCUGGAUCCGCGCCGCAUUAGCUAGUUGGUAAGGUAACGGCUUACCAAGGCAACGAUGCGUAGCCGACCUGAGAGGGUGAUCGGCCACACUGGAACUGAGACACGGUCCAGACUCCUACGGGAGGCAGCAGUAGGGAAUCUUCCGCAAUGGGCGAAAGCCUGACGGAGCAACGCCGCGUGAGGGAUGAAGGUCUUCGGAUCGUAAAACUCUGUUAGUAGGGAAGAACAAAUGUGUAAGUAACUAUGCACGUCUUGACGGUACCUAAUCAGAAAGCCACGGCUAACUACGUG
rnacentral:rRNA from 1 species